UGGUAUGUUUUGUUGCCAGGCUCAGAUCGGCGAGACCCGUGCCAAUGCACGAGGUACAAUAUUGGUUAAUUUUCCAUCUCCAAUCAGAUUAAUGGUUUGCAUGCAGACCAAGCCCAGUGUUUUAUGGUGUUCUUAUUCCUGAUUUAGUUGUACAUUUGACUUUUAGUUUCUUCAUAGAUAAUAAAGUAGUGGCAGAUGAACCAGUAAGUUAUCUGUGCCCAUUCUUUGCUGUAAGCAUUAAAUUUGCUCUCUGCUUUUACUUUCAAUGUGUUAUCCGUACCCCUGUUUUUUGUGGCUAAUUAUUAUGGUGUUCUUAUUCCUGAUUUAGUUGUACAUUUGACUUUUAGUUUCUUCAUAGAUAAUAAAGUAGUGGCAGAUGAACCAGUAAGUUAUCUGUGCCCAUUCUUUGCUGUAAGCAUUAAAUUUGCUCUCUGCUUUUACUUUCAAUGUGUUAUCCGUACCCCUGUUUUUUGUGGCUAAUUAUUAUGUCCUAUCAACAUAUGCAGAGUCCAUGGUAUCAUACGAUUUGAAGUUGAAAAAAUCAUGCUAUGGGUGAUACGGAAAAGUCAUUGCCUUCUUUGCUGGAACAUUUCCUAAGAUGAUCUAAGGUAAUUAUUUUAGUCACCAUGUCAUUUAUAUGCUAAAUUCAGUGCGUUGACAACUAGAGAUCGCUUCCUUUUUUUGUGUAUUGAUCAUUUCAGUACGAUUGUUUGAUACACUGCCGACAUCAUUUUGCUUUCUUCUUGCUUGUUAUUUCAUUUAUUUCCUCCAGCAAGUGGAUGGCUAUUUCCACUGCUUCAAGUGUUGUUUUGGCUCUAAUUGUGUGUAUGGCAUCUUGGCCUUCUUAGGUGAAGCAUUUAUGAAUAUCCUCGCUGAUCUAUGGAUCUAUCAUUGUAAGAGUCGAUAAUAUAUGAUGAGCUGCCUCACACCAUCAUUUGGUCUUUGUGGCAUUUGAGUUGGCAAAUUUGUUGGAUUCAUGCGAUUAGGCAUGGUAAGUGCUCAGAGACCUCAUAGCUCUAUAAAUUUUGCUUCCAAAAGUUCUGAAUCUUUUCUGUGCUUGGUCCUCUCAUUGGUGAGAGUAGCCAUGUAAAUCAAUCUGCAAUGGGAAAUGGGAGUUUGCAAACUACCGGAGUCUAAUUGCUGAGGGACGAGGUUCGUAACUGAGGGUCAUGUGCAGAGCUGGAGGAAGAAGUUGCGAGGCUUGGAACUCUCCUUGUGAAGGGCUCAGGGACAACAGUGAGGACAAUGCCUCUUUAGUUGUAAUUGUGAUACUCCUGAUGUGCAAGUAAACAUUCCUGUGAUACUGCUUAUGCUAAAAUGUUGGUUGUUAGUACAGAGGUGGUGACAUUAUUUGGUUCUCUGAUAUUGAUUUCAUGAUUUGUAAUAUAAUCCACAUUGCAUUAUCUUUCCAGUAACAUCUCCUACUUAUGCACUACUAACAUUCUUUCUAAUUCGGUUCUUGCGCCAUUGGCGCAACCGGGUCAUCUAGUAAAAGUGAACAGAGGGAGUAGUAGAGAGUGCAGAUUUCUCAUUUUGAUAUAUUUUUAUUUGUGCAUGCAUGAAUGGUGCAGCUAAAGGAAGCAUGCAAUUCGACUUUGUUAAUGCCCACUUCAUAUUUCCUUCUUGUGUUAAAG
rnacentral:lncRNA from 1 species